rnacentral:tRNA from 1 species
GCGGCAGUGGCGGAAUUGGCAGACGCGCAAGAUUAAGGAUCUUGUGGUCGUUUUAGACCGUGGAGGUUCGAGUCCUCUUUGCCGCACUA